rnacentral:rRNA from 1 species
CUACGUGCCAGCAGCCGCGGUAAUACGUAGGUGGCAAGCGUUGUCCGGAAUUAUUGGGCGUAAAGCGCGCGCAGGCGGAUUGGUCAGUCUGUCUUAAAAGUUCGGGGCUUAACCCCGUGAUGGGAUGGAAACUGCUGAUCUAGAGUAUCGGAGAGGAAAGUGGAAUUCCUAGUGUAGCGGUGAAAUGCGUAGAUAUUAGGAAGAACACCAGUGGCGAAGGCGACUUUCUGGACGAAAACUGACGCUGAGGCGCGAAAGCCAGGGGAGCGAACGGGAUUAGAUACCCUGGUAGUCCGCACGGUAAACGAUGGAUGCCCGUUUUUGGCUUAUAAAGUCAGAGACCAAGCGAAAGCAUUAAGCAUCCCACCUGGGGAGUACGCCGGCAACGGUGAAACUCAAAGGAAUUGACGGGGGCCCGCACAAGCGGAGGAACAUGUGGUUUAAUUCGAUGAUACGCGAGGAACCUUACCCGGGCUUGAAUUGCC